rnacentral:lncRNA from 1 species
GUCCUUGAGCAAAGACUAAGUCUUAAUAGAAUAUACCUUAAUUAGAUGAUCAAUCUCUAAUUUACAUGUAGACAUCAUAAAAGGAAUGCCCCUCACCAUCAUUACCAUGGAACUCAUCACCUUCCCUGCACUUAAGAUUAGAACUCAUGCUAGCUAGAAAGAGGGUUUAUUGCAUGUGUGAUAACUAUGGUGGUUACUCUGUCAAGGUAUUUCUCCUCUUGAUUGUAUGGGUAUGGCUAUUAUUGUUUUGUUUCAUUUUUCUUCUUCUUUUUUUUUGCUGAGACACAUG